GACGAACCGUGCGAACGUUGUUCGGAAUCACUGGGCUUAAAGGGCGCGUAGGCGGUCUCUCAAGUCCGGGGUGAAAUCUUUCGGCUUAACCGGAAAAUUGCCUUGGAUACUGUGAGGCUCGAGUGAGGUAGGGGUAACGGGAACAUCCGGUGGAGCGGUGAAAUGCGUUGAUAUCGGAUGGAACGCCGGUGGCGAAAGCGCGUUACUGGACCUUUUCUGACGCUGAGUGCGCGAAAGCCAGGGUAGCGAACGGG
rnacentral:rRNA from 1 species